GUAAUCGAUCCAAUAGUAAUCACCUGCAUUCAUACACUUACCAUUUCAUUCACUUCACAUUUCAUAGCAAUGAUAUCCAGCAACCAAAUUAUUCAACAAAACCCAACUACCAAUAUAAGAAAAAACAAACCAAGUUAAAAAGCAGAAUAAGCGAAUUGCUUUGUUAUCAUCAUUCCAGAGGUAUGUGAUGCUAUAUGGAAAACUUUAAAAGAUAUUCAUAUGCCAGUUCCAACUAGAGAACAUUGGGAGAAGAUUGCAUAAAAAUAUUUUGACCUGGCUCAUUAGAUGGUAAGCACUUUAUAUCAAAAGUUAGAAAAACCAAUAUCAAACACCUUAAAAAACUAUGAAACCUUAUCCUAUGAAAAAUACCAGUCCAGAAGAAAAACAUUAUAAGUUAAGAUUCCUAGGUAUAUGAGAAUUUAUUGUUAUUCUUAUCUACAUAAAAUAAUAUAUAUAUAAAUAACAUAGUAAAUUAUUAUGUCACAAAAAAAUAGGGUAUAAAUUUACUUAUAAAAAUCUAAAGUCUGAUAAAAUGGAAAAUAUAUAACUGAGCCAUGAAAAUUUUUGUAUCCAGUGUCUUAAUUUAUUAGGUAUACAUAACAAUUAAGAAUGAUUGUUAAGGGAGAAGUUAAAAGAGUA